rnacentral:rRNA from 1 species
AGAGUUUGAUCCUGGCUCAGGAUGAACGCUGGCGGUAUGCUUAACACAUGCAAGUCGAACGGACUCUUCGGAGUUAGUGGCGGACGGGUGAGUAACGCGUGAGAAUCUGGCUUCAGGUUCGGGACAACAGUUGGAAACGGCUGCUAAUACCGGAUGUGCCUUAUGGUGAAAGAUUUAUCACCUGAAGAUGAGCUCGCGUCUGAUUAGCUAGUAGGUGUGGUAAGAGCGCACCUAGGCGACGAUCAGUAGCUGGUCUGAGAGGAUGAUCAGCCACACUGGGACUGAGACACGGCCCAGACUCCUACGGGAGGCAGCAGUGGGGAAUUUUCCGCAAUGGGCGAAAGCUGACGGAGCAAUACCGCGUGAGGGAGGAAGGCUCUUGGGUUGUAAACCUCUUUUCUCAGGGAAGAAUGAUGACGGUACCUGAGGAAUAAGCAUCGGCUAACUCCGUGCCAGCAGCCGCGGUAAUACGGAGGAUGCAAGCGUUAUCCGGAAUGAUUGGCGUAAAGCGUCCGCAGNNGGCAAUGUAAGUCUGCUGUCAAAGCGUCUGGCUCAACCAGAUAAAGGCAGUGGAAACUACAUAGCUAGAGUAAGGUAGGGGUAGAGGGAAUUCCUGGUGUAGCGGUGAAAUGCGUAGAGAUCAGGAAGAACACCGGUGGCGAAAGNNCUCUGCUGGACCUUAACUGACACUGAGGGACGAAAGCUAGGGGAGCGAAUGGGAUUAGAUACCCCAGUAGUCC